rnacentral:lncRNA from 9 species
UUGAACGUUAUGUCUCUCAUAAUUUUAUAUUAAUAUUCCUAGAUAUACAAAGAAAGGAAGGUCAUCUGGCAUUCUUUUGAAGCCAUUCCAUCAAAAAAGGCAAAAUUUCUCCUUAAGGGAGCCCAAUGUAAUCUUCACAAAAAUAGACUUCCUGAAUAUAUCCAAGCCAAUCCUGAGCCUGCCUACCCUUGGGUCCAUCUUUGCUUUCUACUCUACACUGUCUUGAGAGAACUGUCUGCUGCAAAUGCAUUUCCCUGAGGUAUGUCAGCUGCUCCCAACUGGGUUCUGUUGAAUGAAUGAACAAAUGAAUGAAUGAAUGAAUGACAGUGGAAAAAAGUCUGCCUGGGUGAUUGUAAGCCUGGUGACUGUAAGAACCAGGACUACUGUGGAGCACAAAUCCAGGCAACAGCAUUCACUCUAAGUGUACCUGAAUGAUGUGUAAGGGGGCCGUAAAGAAUGUAGCUUGUAUGGCUGUUUUCAGGGCAGAAGGCUGCUAACAUUGGCAGAGAUAGAAAUGAGAAGAAAGGAGUCUUAAGGGUGAUAGUCUCAUAGGUAGAGUGGAUUAGUAGAAAGAGCCCUAGAUGAAAGUUGGAGAAACUGGGAUUGUUAAUAUAAAGGGGACAGAAGGAAGUCACCUCAAUGGAUAAAAUCACUGAGGGAGAAAGAAUGUACCAAAAUAUACAACAGUGAUAAAGGCUGAACUUAGAGCAAGGCUAAUGUCCAGAAUUAGCAGCGAAAAAUAAGCAAAAGAAAUGUAGAAGCAAAAGAGAUGAAUCAUCUGAUUCAGUGCUUUGAAAGCUAAGGAAGAGAAAAAAGACUGGACAUGUGUGUCUAAUGCACAGAGAGAUUAGGGGUCUUCAGAUGAUAAAAGAAAACAUGCAGCGCCUGGACAGUGAUAUUAGAGAGUUAAAGUGACUGUGGCAGAGAGACCACAUGCUUGGCUGUGGAGCAAAUUUCCUGUUACAAAUCAAUCCUUUUGCUCUAUAAAGUAUUAUAAUUGCUAUCAUGUUCCAUGGAUUUGUGAGUAAGAGCAAUGACCAUAUUAAGAUUGAUCUGAAGGCAACAGUUCUUAAACUUUAGACUGCGUUAGUAUCACCUGGGGACUUGUUAAAA